rnacentral:lncRNA from 1 species
AAGCUUUACAAUUAUGUUGACUGUCAUGUUAGAAAGCAGAAAUUGACAUUGGAAUUUUCAAAAAGGCUGCCGUUGCCAUGGAAACAUAAAAAAAAAUCAUUUUUUUUUAAGUUUCAAAAUGCUUCAAAUGUUCUGAAAAUUUGUAGAAAGAAUUGCCAUGCAUAUAUGUGCAGUCACUGUUUAGUUUUUGAAAUGGCUGCCACUCAGUGGCAAUAGGGGGAAG